GGUCAUGAGUUUGAUCAAGCUUCUGGAGAUGUGGACAGGGAAGCCUGGCAUGCUGCAGCCCAUGGGGUCACAAAGAGGUGGAGACAACUGAGCAGCUGAACAACAGCCUCCUUGUCACAGAACACUCAGAGUACCCAGUAUUUUGGAAGAUGGCAGAGGCUCCAUGACUGAGCAGCUGAGUGAGAAAUGGAUGUGGCUGGAUUAUCAUAACUGCACCAACAGCCUGAAUUUACCUAUGCUUGUGUCCACAGUCACCAGGAAACCAGGAACCAGCAUGUGAUCAGCAAGAGAAGUCAUGUCAAACCCUUCUUGGAAACUACAAUGUAUUGGAAGAUUGGGCACAUGUCACAGAUAGGAUAUACAUUCUUCUACAUUGGAAGUUUGGAUGGAACAGCUAAUAUGAUGAAUUAUGGAAAUGAGAUUGAAAAUAAUCUCAGAAAUCUUGCCUUCAACUCAUCUUACCAAACAAACUGGAGAAAAGUUAAUUGCUCAGCACAAUUUGCUUAUUUAGAGCUGGACCUUGAACCCAGUCCUCUGCUUUGAAAACUUGAGACUUUCAGGAUUACCUUAAAAUCUUUGAUGAUGCAGUGGUAAGACACCUGUCCCAUCAGCCCCAGUUCCAGAGCAGACCUUCUGUGCCACUGCAUACUGGAAAAGAAGGCAUGCCUGCAUAACUUCAUCCUCCUGGUCAGAGUCCCCUGGGAUGACUGCUAUGAUCUUGAGGGAAUUUCAGAUCUGCCCUGCACUGUUCCGAUGGAUCAGUCCUUGGGCUAAAUCCUGGAGUGACCUUGGUACUAGAGAGGGAGAGUAUAUGACCUUCAAGCUACCAUGACCUUUUUGUGCUUGCCACACUGCUGAAGGCAUCACAGGGCCUCUCAACAGACUGCUAAUCAUGACAUUCCUUUCCAGAGGCCUUCUGAGCAUGGUUGUUUUAUUAUGGGAUAUUUUCUGGAAAAUGGCGUGUAUAAAUGUGAUAUGUGUAAAUUAUAUAUGGCUUAUUACAAGAU
ensembl:lncRNA